UGAAUCCAUUGAAAUGGAUGCCAAAAAACUCAUUACAAAAAGGCUCGAGUCACUUUGGUUUGUCUUAAAAUGCGCGUCUCUUGGACAGUAUCAUACAUAUCGGAGGGCAGUCGUUAAAGCUGUGAUGGAGGUGUAUGCCUGGGAUUGUUCAGAUGGUCUGAUGGUGUCUCUCCUCCUCCAUCACUUCAAGCGCAGACGCAAGUGCAUUUGAACAUUCCGACUGCAAACUCCAGCAGCUGAAUAAACACGAUUUUCCUGUGAACAGAGGAAACACAGCAGGAGCGUUUCCUGAGCACGCGGUGAAUUUCGUCAUUGGGGUCACGCAGGUCGAGAGCUCCCGACUGGACCAGGCGGUUAAAAGUGAUGAUUCAGAAUGAACCCCGUGUAUCUGUGUUCCACCUGAGGGGUCAUGGCGGUCAUGAUUCGGACUCUCCUGGAAUUCAGUGUGAGCGAGUCAAAUGUCUCACGUUAUUCUCGAGAGGAGCAAUGCUUUGGAGAUGCACGGAGACAUAAACAGCAGUUCAAGCAUUUUCACCAUCACACCGUUCUAUCCCAGUAAACUUACAUUUACCAGGAUGAAGUAAGGCCCGAGCUGCUGUGUUUCUGAGAAAGAUGAGCUGGUGGCACUACAGAACGAUGACAUCGGCCCAUUUUCUGGCUUGAGGGAGCUGAGGGCCCCAGAUUCUCUCUAACCAUCAGCAACCCCUAAACUACAAGAGACCAGCCGCAGAAUGACCAGAGAGGACAAAAGACACUCCUACCGACAUUCUGGAAAACUUGUCAGAUUGGAUUUCCAUAUAUGAUUUGAAUCAUACAGAUUCCUCAGUGGUUCUUUGUAACUUAAAAAAAUAAA